CAGGUGUACAUGCUGAGGUUUCUACAGCCAGAGUAGAUUGCGAUUUCAAAACUUGCCAUUCAACUGUUGAAUUUCAAAAUGCAUUAGGGUUGGGGGGAAACUUUUGAGGAGGAAUUCAGAAGCCUCGGAUCGGCGAGUCAGUCAGCACUCCCGCAGGAUUUCUCUACCUCCCGGAUCUCCAGGAGCAGUGGAGGAGUGGGGCUACCGGAGCCGCCCUACAAGCCAGCCAAAGCCGAGCUGGCUGCCGGCACAUCGCUCGCGGUCUCCCCGGCUCUAAUAUUUUACGGCAAGAUGUUAAUAAGUAGUUGUCUCCGUCGAAGCACUGUCAUAAAUAACCCAAGAGUCUCCCCCCA